GGAGAUGUGGCUCAAGUGGUAGAGCGCCCACCUGGCAUGUGCGAGGCACUGGGUUCAAUCCUUAACACCA
rnacentral:tRNA from 1 species